UAUGCCGGCUCGAUCCAGCGCCAGGGCACCAAUUCGGAAUUCCAUCUCGUGGAUGAGCGCAUCGUCGGCCACAAGCCGAAGAUGUUGUCGUUCGCCCAGGCGGCCGCCCUGCCCCUGACGUCCAUCACGGCAUGGGAACUGUUGUUCGAUCGCCUCGGGGUUGCGCCGGGCAAGAGUGUCGAUCCGCGCACGCUGCUGAUCAUCGGCGGCGCCGGCGGCGUCG
rnacentral:misc_RNA from 1 species